GAUGAACGCUGGCGGCGUGCCUAAUACAUGCAAGUAGAAACGCUGAAAGCUUGGUGCUUGCACCGAGCGGAUGAGUUGCGAACGGGUGAGUAACGCGUAGGUAACCUGCCUCUUAGCGGGGGAUAACUAUUGGAAACGAUAGCUAAUACCGCAUAAAAGUCGAUAUCGCAUGAUAUUGACUUGAAAGGUGCAAUUGCAUCACUAAGAGAUGGACCUGCGUUGUAUUAGCUAGUUGGUGAGGUAACGGCUCACCAAGGCGACGAUACAUAGCCGACCUGAGAGGGUGAUCGGCCACACUGGGACUGAGACACGGCCCAGACUCCUACGGGAGGCAGCAGUAGGGAAUCUUCGGCAAUGGGGGCAACCCUGACCGAGCAACGCCGCGUGAGUGAAGAAGGUUUUCGGAUCGUAAAGCUCUGUUGUAAGAGAAGAACGAGUGUGAGAGUGGAAAGUUCACACUGUGACGGUAACUUACCAGAAAGGGACGGCUAACUACGUGCCAGCAGCCGCGGUAAUACGUAGGUCCCGAGCGUUAUCCGGAUUUAUUGGGCGUAAAGCGAGCGCAGGCGGUUAGAUAAGUCUGAAGUUAAAGGCUGUGGCUUAACCAUAGUACGCUUUGGAAACUGUUUAACUUGAGUGCAGAAGGGGAGAGUGGAAUUCCAUGUGUAGCGGUGAAAUGCGUAGAUAUAUGGAGGAACACCGGUGGCGAAAGCGGCUCUCUGGUCUGUAACUGACGCUGAGGCUCGAAAGCGUGGGGAGCAAACAGG
rnacentral:rRNA from 1 species